rnacentral:rRNA from 1 species
UACGUAGGGUGCAAGCGUUAAUCGGAAUUACUGGGCGUAAAGCGUGCGCAGGCGGUUUUGUAAGUCUGUCGUGAAAGCCCCGGGCUCAACCUGGGAAUGGCAUUGGAAACUGGCGAGCUAGAGUGUGGCAGAGGGGGGUGGAAUUCCGCGUGUAGCAGUGAAAUGCGUAGAGAUGCGGAGGAACACCGAUGGCGAAGGCAGCCCCCUGGGCUGACACUGACGCUCAGGCACGAAAGCGUGGGGAGCAAACAGG